rnacentral:rRNA from 1 species
UACGGAGGAUGCAAGCGUUAUCCGGAUUCAUUGGGUUUAAAGGGUGCGCAGGCGGAAUAAUAAGUCAGUGGUGAAAGCCUACAGCUCAACUGUAGAACUGCCAUUGAUACUGUUGUUCUUGAGUAUAGUUGGAGUGUGCGGAAUGUAUCAUGUAGCGGUGAAAUGCUUAGAUAUGAUACAGAACACCAAUCGCGAAGGCAGCUCACUAAGCUAUAACUGACGCUCAUGCACGAAAGCGUGGGGAUCAAACAGG